UUAUGGACGAAGUGGGUAAUCCUAUGCUGUCGAGAAAAACCUCUAGCGAGCUGUGAGCCGCCCGUACCCCAAACCGACUCAGGUGAUCAGGUAGAGAAUACCAAGGCGAUCGAGUGAACCAUGGUUAAGGAACUCGGCAAAAUGCCCCCGUAACUUCGGGAGAAGGGGGGCCGGAUACGUGAUGGGACUUGCUCCCGGAAGCGUUGAUGGCCGCAGAGACCAGGCCCAAGCGACUGUUUACUAAAAACACAGGUCCGUGCUAAGUCGCAAGACGAUGUAUACGGACUGACUCCUGCCCGGUGCUGGAAGGUUAAGGGGACGGGUUAGCUCUUCGGAGCGAAGCUCAGAACUUAAGCCCCAGUAAACGGCGGUGGUAACUAUAACCAUCCUAAGGUAGCGAAAUUCCUUGUUGGGUAAGUUCCGACCUGCACGAAUGGAGUAACGACUUGGGCGCUGUCUCAACCGUGGACUCGGCGAAAUUGCACUACGAGUAAAGAUGCUCGUUACGCGCGGCAGGACGGAAAGACCCCGGGACCUUUACUACAAUUUGGUAUUGGUGUUUGGUUCGGCUUGUGUAGGAUAGGUGGGAGACUUUGAAGCAGGGACGCCAGUUCUUGUGGAGUCAACGUUGAAAUACCACUCUGGUCGUACUAGAUAUCUAACCUCGGUCCGUUAUCCGGAUCAGGGACAGUGCCUGAUGGGUAGUUUAACUGGGGCGGUUGCCUCCUAAAAUGUAACGGAGGCGCUCAAAGGUUCCCUCAGCCUGGUUGGCAAUCAGGUUUCGAGUGUAAGUGCACAAGGGAGCUUGACUGUGAGAGUGACAACUCAAGCAGGGACGAAAGUCGGAACUAGUGAUCCGGCGCUGGCAUGUGGAAGCGGCGUCGCUUAACGGAUAAAAGGUACCCCGGGGAUAACAGGCUGAUCUUCCCCAAGAGUCUAUAUCGACGGGAUGGUUUGGCACCUCGAUGUCGGCUCGUCGCAUCCUGGGGCUGGAGUAGGUCCCAAGGGUUGGGCUGUUCGCCCAUUAAAGCGGCACGCGAGCUGGGUUUAGAACGUCGUGAGACAGUUCGGUCCCUAUCCGCCGUGCGCGUAGGAAGCUUGAGAAAGGCUGUCCCUAGUACGAGAGGACCGGGAUGGACGAACCUCUGGUGUGCCAGUUGUUCUGUCAAGAGCACGGCUGGUUAGCUACGUUCGGAAGUGAUAACCGCUGAAAGUAUCUAAGCGGGAAGCACGUUUCAAGAUGAGGUUUCCCACCGGGUUAACCGGGUAAGGCCCCCAGUAGAUGACUGGGUUGAUAGGCCGGAGGUAGAAGGUGGUAACACACGGAGCCGACCGGUACUAAUAGGCCGAGGGCUUGUCUCA
rnacentral:rRNA from 1 species